rnacentral:rRNA from 1 species
UUUCCUACGGGGGGCAGCAGUAAGGAAUAUUGCACAAUGGGGGAAACCUUGAUGCAGCAACGCCGCGUGCGCGAAGAAGGCCUUCGGGUCGUAAAGCGCUUUUUCAGGGGAAGAGGAAGGACAGUACCCUGGGAAUAAGUCUCGGCUAACUACGUGCCAGCAGCCGCGGUAAGACGUAGGAGGCGAGCGUUAUCCGGAUUUACUGGGCGUAAAGGGCAAGUAGGCGGCGGCAGAAGUUGUGCGUGAAAUCUCCCGGCUCAACUGGGAGGGAGCGUGCAAAACUGGGUCGCUAGAGGGCAGAAGAGGAGAGCAGAAUUUCUGGUGUAGCGGUGGAAUGCUCAGAUACCAGAAGGAAUACCAGUGGCGAAGGCGGCUCUCUGGUCUGAACCUGACGCUGAGAGGCGAAAGCUAGGGGAGCGAACGGGAUUAGAUACCCGGGUAGUCU